CGGAAAUCAUCAAGACCUAAUCCAAUCCCUCCCGGCGCCCCCAUGCCCCUCCGUCCCCCAAGCAGCCCCCGGCUCAAGGACCUCCCGACUCAACCCGGCGGUGCAGCGCGGUUGAUCCAUGGUGCAGCCCGUGCCCACGAGCUCCCCCGGAGCCGGAGACCCCGCGACCCGCCGUCCCCUCCACCGCACGAGGAGGAGGAGCAUCUUGCUGAACCUGGAUCAUCAUCUGCACAAACUCUGCAAGCACCGUCCUUGAAUGAGUCGCUCGGCGCUUCGGCGUCGGAGGAAACGUGUGUCACUGUCACUUCCUCCGCCCUUUCGCAGUCAGAGGCGGUAGCCCAAUACACAAUAGUUCCUGCCCCUGGUUCACCUAUUUUGUCCCGGCUACCGCGUGACUGGGGGCUCCAAUUCUACAUCAGGGUGGAUCUUUCAGGAUCUUUCCACAUAUAUCCUCAUUUGGGUGGGCCAUUCAAGAGCUUACAGGAAGCCGACAAUGCUAUCGACCGCCAUCUUCUUGAUCGCCAGGUCACCAAAAUGUGCCCGGAGCAAGGCAGCGUUUCUCGGCUGGAUAAGGUCGUACAGCGAUGUCUUUACUGGCCUGAUGGCAGAAGGAAGAAGCGUUCAAAAUCUCAUGUGGUUGAGCAAAGCCAUAAUCGAAUGUGCCUAUUGGCUCAAGCUUUAGUAGACAAGUAUAACGAGAAUCACAACCUUUGUGGGGAUCUAGCAAAUGAGUUCAAAGACGUUGUGCAAUAUCAAUCAAUUUGUGAGAACCGUGUGUGGUACUAUCACCUCAAUAUCACUACAAGGGCUAAAGGAGCUGAUGGUUUCUCCCAUGGCAUCGACGAUGUAUUCUUCGCGGAAGUCAAACGUGAGCGACAGGGACAACAUGAAGAAUUGGUGGUCAGCUGUUUCUGCAUGCUCAAACCGGCUGAUAAUGGUUGCUGCUAUGGUUGUACCAACAAUGGAUCUCCUGAUAUGAAGCACCCCAGCAUUACUGACAAAUACACUGCUGGUCACUUGAACGCGUAUCUGCCAUUUGGAUGCCGUAGGGAGUUUAGCGACUCCGAUGAUGAGGAGGAAGCUGAGGCUAAGCUAAGAGAUAUGUAUGAGGGCCUUGAUGAGCCAGACUUUCUGGAGAAACUCUUCACAUUUCCCACUUAUGUAACUCUGAGGAAAGACAGGAAGGGAACCUGAAGCUGAAAGACCGGACUCGAGGGCCUCAGAGUGAAACAGCAUUGCCUGUUUUAGCUUCUUGUGGUUCAGUUAUAGUAAUUUUGGUGACCAGGUGUCCGACUCCGAGGCCACAGUAGUGCUGGUGGUGCCUCAGCCCUGAUGCGGCAUGCUGAUCGGCAAAGGAGGAUCUGUUAUCAAGACAAGUAUUUCCGGACGGAGGGAGUAUAUAUGUUUUCCUUGCAUUUCUUAGUCUUCUACUUCGACGUGCGUCGGCUUCAGGUCAUUCACUGAAGCUUCGGAAACUGCAAUUCAGAUCUCACCACAGAACAUCUCCUAUGGCUUCAACGACAGGCUGGUCACCAUCACAGGGCCCUUAGACAAUCUACUGUUCUGAUAAUAUUUGAGCUACUGGAGGACGUUCGUUAUUUGUUUCCAUAUGCAGCUACUACGGUAAAUCCUCCACCCCGCACCGUCCGUCUUCAAUAUCCCUGCCCUGAAUUAAUAAAAACGAAUUAUUCUAUGUGAAGUCGUCGUAUACAGCUGUAUUAAUUCGUAUUUUAGGCACAGACAGUGGCCCCAUGACGCGAUUACCUUGUGUACAGCUCCUAUCACAUUUAAUUACCUGCUCCACCGAUGCCUUCAGUUGGGCCAGAUUUCAAUUGCAAUAGCUGUGGGCACACUGGCAGCAGCUGUACCGAUCGUCCUCUCAUCCAAGUUUUACUUCUAAUCUGUACAACAAAUUAAAUGGACCACAUUAGUAAUGCUCUGCUUAUUAGAUCUAAUAAGUAUAUCAUAUAGUAGUUUAUUUGUCUCCCCGAACCCUCAUUGUAAUUCUAGCCAGGAGAAUGAAUGUAAAUUAUUUGUCCAGUUUCUAGCUUAAAUCUUUAUAAUCUGGAUAUUA